rnacentral:rRNA from 1 species
GAUGAACGCUGGCGGCGUGCCUAAUACAUGCAAGUCGAGCGAACGGACGAGAAGCUUGCUUCUCUGAUGUUAGCGGCGGACGGGUGAGUAACACGUGGAUAACCUACCUAUAAGACUGGGAUAACUUCGGGAAACCGGAGCUAAUACCGGAUAAUAUUUUGAACCGCAUGGUUCAAAAGUGAAAGACGGUCUUGCUGUCACUUAUAGAUGGAUCCGCGCUGCAUUAGCUAGUUGGUAAGGUAACGGCUUACCAAGGCAACGAUGCAUAGCCGACCUGAGAGGGUGAUCGGCCACACUGGAACUGAGACACGGUCCAGACUCCUACGGGAGGCAGCAGUAGGGAAUCUUCCGCAAUGGGCGAAAGCCUGACGGAGCAACGCCGCGUGAGUGAUGAAGGUCUUCGGAUCGUAAAACUCUGUUAUUAGGGAAGAACAUAUGUGUAAGUAACUGUGCACAUCUUGACGGUACCUAAUCAGAAAGCCACGGCUAACUACGUGCCAGCAGCCGCGGUAAUACGUAGGUGGCAAGCGUUAUCCGGAAUUAUUGGGCGUAAAGCGCGCGUAGGCGGUUUUUUAAGUCUGAUGUGAAAGCCCACGGCUCAACCGUGGAGGGUCAUUGGAAACUGGAAAACUUGAGUGCAGAAGAGGAAAGUGGAAUUCCAUGUGUAGCGGUGAAAUGCGCAGAGAUAUGGAGGAACACCAGUGGCGAAGGCGACUUUCUGGUCUGUAACUGACGCUGAUGUGCGAAAGCGUGGGGAUCAAACAGGAUUAGAUACCCUGGUAGUCCACGCCGUAAACGAUGAGUGCUAAGUGUUAGGGGGUUUCCGCCCCUUAGUGCUGCAGCUAACGCAUUAAGCACUCCGCCUGGGGAGUACGACCGCAAGGUUGAAACUCAAAGGAAUUGACGGGGACCCGCACAAGCGGUGGAGCAUGUGGUUUAAUUCGAAGCAACGCGAAGAACCUUACCAAAUCUUGACAUCCUUUGACAACUCUAGAGAUAGAGCUUUCCCCUUCGGGGGACAAAGUGACAGGUGGUGCAUGGUUGUCGUCAGCUCGUGUCGUGAGAUGUUGGGUUAAGUCCCGCAACGAGCGCAACCCUUAAGCUUAGUUGCCAUCAUUAAGUUGGGCACUCUAAGUUGACUGCCGGUGACAAACCGGAGGAAGGUGGGGAUGACGUCAAAUCAUCAUGCCCCUUAUGACUUGGGCUACACACGUGCUACAAUGGACAAUACAAAGGGCAGCGAAACCGCGAGGUCAAGCAAAUCCCAUAAAGUUGUUCUCAGUUCGGAUUGUAGUCUGCAACUCGACUACAUGAAGCUGGAAUCGCUAGUAAUCGUAGAUCAGCAUGCUACGGUGAAUACGUUCCCGGGUCU